CGACCGGCGCACGGGUGAGUAACGCGUAUCCAACCUGCCUUACACUCUUGGACAGCCUUCUGAAAGGGAGAUUAAUACAAGAUGUUAUCAUGAGUAAGCAUUUUCGCAUGAUUAAAGGUAUUUUCCGGUAGACGAUGGGGAUGCGUUCCAUUAGAUAGUAGGCGGGGUAACGGCCCACCUAGUCAACGAUGGAUGGGGGUUCUGAGAGGAAGGUCCCCCACAUUGGAACUGAGACACGGUCCAA
rnacentral:rRNA from 1 species